GCCAAUGUGGUGUAGUGGUUUGAAUGUUGGACUAAGACUCUGAAGACCAGGGUUCAUUCAAUUCCUAGCUUGGCC